rnacentral:RNase_P_RNA from 1 species
GGAGCCGGCCGGAUGGCCGCGGGCCCCUUCGGGGGCCGGAGGAAAGUCCGAACACCACAGGGCAGGGUGCUGGCUAACGGCCAGGGGGGGCGACCCCACGGAAAGUGCCACAGAAAACAAACCGCCUCCGCGCCUGGCGCGGCGGUAAGGGUGAAACGGUGAGGUAAGAGCUCACCAGCUGGGGCGGCGACGCCCCAGGCUAGGCAAACCCCACCCGGUGCAAGACCAAAUAGAGGGGCGUUCGAGGAUGGCCCGUCCAAGCCCCUGGGUAGGUCGCUUGAGGCGCCGGGCAACCGGCGUCCCAGAUGAAUGGCCAUCCUCCGGCUUAUUGGGCCGGAGACAGAAUUCGGCUUACAGACCGACUCCGUCC